rnacentral:lncRNA from 1 species
GGCCGUCCUAGGAUAGCAUUAUUGGUUGAGGGCACCCGGACAACUAGAAAGUCGAUGUGGGUGGUCAACUAUUGGGGCUCUCGAUCAGCUAUGACUGGCAAAGUAAUGACUGUUGGAAAUUAUGUCUUAAAACCAAUCGUGUGACGAUUAAGUUCAUCCAUAUAUAUGAAUUAUUGAUUAUUAAAUAAUAAUUAUUUUGAUACUUUUCAUCAUAAAGUGACAUCUUCCUUGAACUCUUGUACUGUGAUGAAAUCCUUAGAACUAUGCUAGUAUACGAUAAAGAGAGGAUUUAUCGUAUAGUUCUUAAACAAGUUUGCGACCAAAUGAUACGUCAUUAUGGGACGAUGAUGUUUAUCGAGUGAAGA